rnacentral:rRNA from 1 species
GACGAACGCUGGCGGCGUGCUUAACACAUGCAAGUCGAACGGAAAGGCCCUGCUUGCCGGGUGCUCGAGUGGCGAACGGGUGAGUAACACGUGGGUGAUCUGCCCCUUACUUUGGGAUAAGCCUGGGAAACUGGGUCUAAUACUGGAUAGGACCAUGCUGUAGGUGGUGUGGUGGAAAGAUUAGUUUCGGUAAGGGAUGAGCUCGCGGCCUAUCAGCUUGUUGGUGGGGUAAUGGCCUACCAAGGCGUCGACGGGUAGCCGGCCUGAGAGGGUGGACGGCCACAUUGGGACUGAGAUACGGCCCAGAAUCCUACGGGAGGCAGCAGUGGGGAAUAUUGCACAAUGGGCGCAAGCCUGAUGCAGCGACGCCGCGUGGGGGAUGACGGCCUUCGGGUUGUAAACUCCUUUCAGCCAUGACGAAGCCCUUGUGGUGACGGUAGUGGUAGAAGAAGCACCGGCUAACUACGUG